CAACGCUGAGAGACCUUAACCAGGAAGUCAGAGGUCAGCUGAUGCUGCGAGCAGGAAGUGAACCAAGGGAAAGGUCCACUCUACUCAAUCUCAAAGAAAAUAUGCUGACGGACAGGGAAUCAGUUGCUGUACGAUGACAUCAUCUUGAUGUUGACGAGGAGGGCGAGAAAAACUAGUUUUGUCCUGCAGAUGGCGAUCUUGCACCGUGUUCAGAGAGCCGACACUUUGAUGGUGCUGCUCUACUCAGCUUACUUUAGCCUGGGUUGGACUCUAUAUGAGCAGCUUCCACUCUGGUUUCACUCUUAAACACACUUGUUUGAUUUCACUUGUAAAAGUUGAAGAAUAAAUAUUUUAUUACAAAAUUA